GACAGAGGGUGCAAACGUUGUUCGGAAUUACUGGGCGUAAAGCGCAUGUAGGCGGUUCGUAAAGUCAGAUGUGAAAGCCCGGGGCUCAACCCCGGGUCGGCCGUGCGGACUGCCGGGCUGGAGCACUGUAGAGGCAGGUGGAAUUCCGGGUGUAGCGGUGGAAUGCGUAGAGAUCCGGAGGAACACCAGUGGCGAAGGCGACACGCUGGGCCGUACCUGACACUGAUGCGCGACAGCAUGGGGAGCAAACAGG
rnacentral:rRNA from 1 species